GACGAACGCUGGCGGCGUGCCUAAUACAUGCAAGUCGAACGCUGAAGGAGGAGCUUGCUUCUCUGGAUGAGUUGCGAACGGGUGAGUAACGCGUAGGUAACCUGCCUGGUAGCGGGGGAUAACUAUUGGAAACGAUAGCUAAUACCGCAUAAGAGUAGAUGUUGCAUGACAUUUGCUUAAAAGGUGCAAUUGCAUCACUACCAGAUGGACCUGCGUUGUAUUAGCUAGUUGGUGGGGUAACGGCUCACCAAGGCGACGAUACAUAGCCGACCUGAGAGGGGGAUCGGCCACACUGGGACUGGGACACGGCCCAGACCCCUACGGGAGGCAGCAGGAGGGAAUCUUCGGCAAUGGACGGAAGGCGGACCGAGCAACGCCGCGUGAGGGAAGAAGGGUUUCGGAUCGUAAAGAUCUGUUGUAAGAGAAGAACGAGUGUGAGAGUGGAAAGUUCACACUGUGACGGUAUCUUACCAGAAAGGGACGGCUAACUACGUG
rnacentral:rRNA from 1 species